AAAGCUGGGAGUGCGGUCCCUCUGCUUUGCUUGCUGUGUCUCUUGGGUAGUGAUUUUGGAGGGGAAUCCCAGAGCGAUUUGGUUUGAAGGGGACCUUCAAAGGCCACCCUGCCUUCCGUGGGCAGGGACACCUUCCCCUCUCAUCCCCGGUUGCUCCAAGUCCCGUCCAGCCUGGCCUGGAACACUUGCAGGGAUCCAGGGGCAGGCUCAGCUUCCCUGUGCAGUGUGCUCUAAUAUCUCUCCACUGGCAUCCUGAAAAAUGUUGUCAGCGUGUUUUGUUGGACGCCGAAUUGCCACGAGAGGAAAUACUUCAGAGGGGCUUCCCUCCAGAUAAGCCCUGAAUGUGCCAGGAGGUUUCAGCCGGGAGAAAGGAGCUGUGGAAGAAAAGCAGCCUAAAAAUAGCCAGCGGGGAUCAUCAGGUUUUCCAGCCAAGAAAAACCAGGAGGGAGAUGAGGGAAUCGGGUUCCAAUUCCUAAAGAUUUGGUGGGUGUAGGAAUGAUUUCUGUGUGUUUUCCAGUCCCUUUUGAUUCCUGGGAUGAUUUUAAAAUGAUGGCUAAAUUGGAGAUGUUGUUUUUGAGAGGAAAUGAUGCCAAAUAAAUGCAGAGUUUGGGGUCAGUUUUUUGGAUGAUUUGGGUCAGGUUUUGGGGUCAGUUUUGGGUCAUUGUUUGGGGUGAUUUGGGUCAGUUUUGGGUCAGGUUUUGGGGUCAGUUUUGGGUCAGCUUUUGGGGUGAUUUGGGUCGGUUUUGGGUCAAUUUUUGGGGAGCACUGGGUGUUACUGGGGGUUGUUGGGGAGCACUGGGUGUUUACUGGGGAGCACUGGG